AAAUUUAGGUUAGAUAGACCAAGAGCCUUCAAAGCCCUAAGAAAGUACAUUAUUACUUAAUUUCUG
rnacentral:tRNA from 1 species